UCGAGAAUCAUUCACAAUGCGCGAAAGCGUGAUGAUGCGACGCCGCGUGGAGGAUGAAGGCCUUCGGGUUGUAAACUCCUGUCAGCAGGGAUUAAAUGCAAUUUGGUCAACAGCCUUAUUGUUUGACUUUACCUGCAGAGGAAGCCACGGCUAACUUCGUGCCAGCAGCCGCGGUAAUACGAAGGUGGCGAGCGUUGUUCGGAUUUACUGGGCGUAAAGGGUGCGUAGGUGGUUUGGUAUGUCGGAUGUGAAAGCCCACGGCUCACCCGUGGAAUUGCAUUCGAAACUGCCAGACUAGAGUAUCGGAGAGGUAAGUGGAAUUCUUGGUGUAGCGGUGAAAUGCGUAGAUAUCAAGAGGAACACCGGUGGCGAAGGCGACUUACUGGACGAAUACUGACACUGAGGCACGAAAGCUGGGGUAGCGAAGAGG
rnacentral:rRNA from 1 species